rnacentral:lncRNA from 1 species
AGGCCCUAAAAGGCCAUUGGGCUCUAUGCAAUGGGCUAAAAGAAGUUAUGAGUAUCAAAGCUACGUUGUUGAUGCUUGACAGGGUAUUCUCAAUUGGCAGAUGAAAUGCUUUAAGGGAAAAAAUUUACUUUCUUUGAAUAAUUUGGAUACUCUUUUAGGAGAUUUUAUUAGCUAAUUAAGGAGCUCUUUAGGGUCUUUUGUGGGUUCUACAAGUAUUUUUCAUUUCUUUAUCUCCAAUUUAUAACUAAAUUAUGAUUCAUAAAAUUAUUAGUUUACUAAAAAGACUUGAGCUCGCUCGAUCCUAUAUUUAUUGAAG